rnacentral:sRNA from 1 species
CAGAAUCCUAACCCGCCAGGGUCGCGUGCUAUUACGGAGGUUAGUUUGUGCUCUUCGCCAUUUAAUACGAGGUUACCAAAGACGAGAUCAGGUAAUUUCGUCAUCAUUCCCUGUAGUUCCGUUAUCCCCCGGCUAGGAGACAAGCAACAACGUCAAAGUCAAAACUGUCGCGUUUGGCGUGAAACAGUCAAAUGUUACAUUUCUUGCCUGGCCGUGCUUUGCCUUGAACAAAUGCAUAAACCACAAUGCUUCCAGUCAAUGGAAACUAGAUCCAUGCCGGAUGCUUGCUCGCCUGCUUGCGUGCUCACGAUGUUUAUACAACAACUGUUGUUCACCUAGAUUCCAAUUAUGCCGUCGAUCUAGGUUCUACGAGAGAAAAACUGAAAAAGUUAUAAAGUGAAAAAGUGAAAGUCAUCAAGUUUGUUUGUUUUGAGGUCGAACAGUUGUGAUUUUUAGAUCCGACUCGCCGUCGAGCAUAGAACAAGAGGGAAAAGUCUCCUGCCUGGGCUUCGAAGAGAAGGAACAAAAAAAAAACCUUCAAACCUUCCAUUUCCAUCCAGAAAAUCGUUAUCAAACCCAUGAACUGGUCACUUUCGUUUUUUUAUAACUAUUUUUUUCUGUAGCUUAACCGUCACUUCUUGGUCAAGAGAAAGGCUCAAGAAGACUAGAUACCUGAC